CGGACGGGUGAGUAAUGCUUGGGAAUCUGGCUUAUGGAGGGGGAUAACUACGGGAAACUGUAGCUAAUACCGCGUAGUAUCGAGAGAUGAAAGACUGGGACCGCAAGGCCAGUUGCCAUAAGAUGAGCCCAAGUGGGAUUAGGUAGUUGGUGGGGUAAAGGCCUACCAAGCCGACGAUCUCUAGCUGGUCUGAGAGGAUGACCAGCCACACUGGAACUGAGACACGGUCCAGACUCCUACGGGAGGCAGCAGUGGGGAAUAUUGCACAAUGGGGGGAACCCUGAUGCAGCCAUGCCGCGUGAAUGAAGAAGGCCUUCGGGUUGUAAAGUUCUUUCGGUGAUGAGGAAGGGUAGUGUUUUAAUAGAACAUUACAUUGACGUUAGUCACAGAAGAAGCACCGGCUAACUCCGUGCCAGCAGCCGCGGUAAUACGGAGGGUGCGAGCGUUAAUCGGAAUGACUGGGCGUAAAGGGCACGCAGGCGGUGACUUAAGUGAGAUGUGAAAGCCCCGAGCUUAACUUGGGAAUUGCAUUUCAUACUGGGUUGCUAGAGUAUUUUAGGGAGGGGUAGAAUUCCACGUGUAGCGGUGAAAUGCGUAGAGAUGUGGAGGAAUACCGAAGGCGAAGGCAGCCCCUUGGGAAAAUACUGACGCUCAUGUGCGAAAGCGUGGGGAGCAAACAGGAUUAGAUACCCUGGUAGUCCACGCUGUAAACGCUGUCGAUUUGGGGAUUGGGCUUAGAGCUUGGUGCCCGUAGCUAACGUGAUAAAUCGACCGC
rnacentral:rRNA from 1 species